CCUACGGGUGGCAGCAGUGAGGAAUAUUGGUCAAUGGUCGGGAGCCUGAACCAGCCAAGCCGCGUGAGGGAUGAAGGUCCAGCGUAUCGUAAACCUCUUUUGUCAGGGAACAAAGGCGGGGACGUGUCCCCGGCUGCGUGUACCUGAAGAAAAAGCAUCGGCUAACUCCGUGCCAGCAGCCGCGGUAAUACGGAGGAUGCGAGCGUUAUCCGGAUUUAUUGGGUUUAAAGGGUGCGCAGGCGGUGUGUUAAGUCAGCGGUCAAAGCCCGGGGCUCAACCCCGGCCCGCCGUUGAAACUGGCAGUCUCGAGUUGGAGAGAAGUAUGCGGAAUGCGCGGUGUAGCGGUGAAAUGCAUAGAUAUCGCGCAGAACCCCGAUUGCGAAGGCAGCAUGCCGGCUCCAAACUGACGCUGAGGCACGAAAGCGUGGGUAUCGAACAGGAUUAGAUACCCUGGUAGUC
rnacentral:rRNA from 1 species